rnacentral:SRP_RNA from 1 species
GGCCAGGUCCCAUGCAGUGAGGGGAUCAGGCAACGGGUCAGGCUGGAGACAGAGCAGCCCACCUGGUUCACUCAGGUGCCGUGGAUCACCUGGCCGUC